UAAGGAAAUAAUAAAUCACAUUAAUAAUGUAUAUAUUGUGGUUUAAUAAAAAACUUAUUAUAUAUUUAAAUGGACCAACCUAUUUCUCUAAGGAUUCUAAGAAUCAUUCUAGUGAUGACACGUGGCUACAAAAAAAUGUUGCAAUGCUUCUCAAAUAAUAUAUAGGGGAUUUCCCGUUUUUUGCUUUCUUUUCUUUUUUAUUUAUUUAUUAAAAUAAAAUAAAUAGUAAUUCAAAUAUCAAAUAUAGUCCCGUUACCUCACACAACCCAAUAACUACUAACUGUUGGAAAAAUAUAAUUUUUUUUUUUGCUUUUAGUGGACAAAGAUAAUUUACUGUUUUUUAUUUUAUUUUUGAAGCACUUCAAUAUGGAACAAAAAUGUUGGUAUAUCUAUAUUUUUAAAACUGAAGUACAUUUUGAUAUUGUUUGAAAACAUGAAUUACAAUAUAAAAAAUAAUUAUUUGAAAACAUGAAAAGCAGUAUAAGAAAGAAGUACAUUGUCUUUCUAGUAAUUUCAUUAAUAUAAUUACAUUAAUUAUAUUUUCAUAUCUCAUUCAGUUUAAUAAUUUUAUUAAUUAUAUUAUCUUAACAAUACAUCACAUCCUUAAUUAUAUUACCAUA
rnacentral:lncRNA from 1 species